CGGGUGAGUAACACGUGGGUAACCUUUCCUAUCGCGGGGGAUAACAGCGGGAAACCGCUGCUAAUACCGCAUGUCGUCACCGGCUCAUGGCUGGUGAAGAAAGCAGCAAUGCACGAUGGGGUGGGCCCGCGGCCUAUCAGCUAGUCGGUGGGGUAACGGCCUACCGAGGCGAUGACGGGUAGCUGGUCUGAGAGGACGGCCAGCCACACGGGGACUGAGACACGGCCCCG
rnacentral:rRNA from 1 species